GCGAUUUCACGUGUUCAUCUUUUUUGUCGUAACGUAGAUGAGCUUAUUAGCCUUUUUUCUUUUUUUAACAAGGUUUGUGGCAAUCGGCAACGGAUACGUCUCAUGACCUCUUGGCGAGGCUAGCCGUAGUGCACAUGGUCCACGAGGCCAGGGAGACGCGAGCUCAGUGAAGGUGUUGGAGGUGAUUUACGCUGAUGAAAUCACACACGUGGCUGCAGGGCUGAGAUGGUUCACAUACAUCUGCUCAAAAGAAGGACGUGAUUCCUUGAAAACAUUCCAUGAAUUGGUGAAGUUGCAUUUCAAAGGGUUUUUGAAGCCUCCGUUCAACACAGAGGGAAGGAGGACAGCAGGGAUGACAGAAGAGUGGUAUGUUCCUCUUGUCAAGCCCUCCAGCUUACAGAAGACCUCCUGAUUGGAUUUAUUUUUAUUAAAACAACAAUUUUGCAUUCUGGAAAUUUUUAAUGUA